rnacentral:tRNA from 1 species
GAUAAAUACUAGCCUUAUAGUGGAAUAUAAGACGUUAGAUUGCAAAUCUGAAAAUGUAGUAAAUUACUGAGGCUU